GUGCUCUUUUCAGCAGCACAUCACUAAAUUGGAAUGAUAGGAAAAUUAGUAUGGCCCCUGCACAGUAAUGACAUGCAAAUGCACAUUUUUUU
rnacentral:snRNA from 1 species